UUAAACAUUAGUUUAGAGCAGCCCUGUAUUUUUGCCAUUUCUGCCGAGGCAAAUGGAGAGGUUUAGGACCAGGGAAUGGGAGCUGCCUUUUUGUCUCUUAUUUAGCUGUACCCAGCACAGGCCAGGCACUUCAGGUCAAUGAUGAAGCACACAAGGUCACAAAAUGAAGAGGAGACUAUGGCGUUUAAACCAAGUUAAAAUAGUAGUGCUAAUUUUAACCUUGGUAGAUGAAAUAAUGAUCCUGCUAUAAGAAAACUA